GACGAACGCUGGCGGCGUGCUUAACACAUGCAAGUCGAACGGAAAGGCCCAGCUUGCUGGGUACUCGAGUGGCGAACGGGUGAGUAACACGUGGGUGAUCUGCCCUGCACUCUGGGAUAAGCCUGGGAAACUGGGUCUAAUACCGGAUAUGAUCAACUGUCGCAUGGUGGCUGGGGGAAAGCUUUUGCGGUGUGGGAUGGGCCCGCGGCCUAUCAGCGUGUUGGUGGGGUAAUGGCCUACCAAGGCGACGACGGGUAGCCGACCUGAGAGGGUGAUCGGCCACACUGGGACUGUGACACGGCCCAGACUCCUACGGGAGGCAGCAGUGGGGAAUAUUGCACAAUGGGCGCAAGCCUGAUGCAGCGACGCCGCGUGAGGGAUGACGGCCUUCGGGUUGUAAACCUCUUUCACCAGGGACGAAGCGUGAGUGACGGUACCUGGAGAGGAAGCACCGGCCAACUACGUGCCAGCCGCCGCCGUAA
rnacentral:rRNA from 1 species